rnacentral:rRNA from 1 species
UACGUAGGGUGCGAGCGUUAAUCGGAAUUACUGGGCGUAAAGCGUGCGCAGGCUGUUUUGUAAGUCAGAUGUGAAAUCCCCGAGCUCAACUUGGGAACUGCGUUUGAAACUACAAGACUAGAAUAUGUCAGAGGGGGGGUAGAAUUCCACGUGUAGCAGUGAAAUGCGUAGAGAUGUGGAGGAAUAUCAAUGGCGAAGGCAGCCCCCUGGGAUAAUAUUGACGCUCAUGCACGAAAGCGUGGGGAGCAAACAGG